GCUUGUUUGAGGCCGGGUCCCUCAUUUGCUGCCUCGUGUGCCAGGCUAGGGGAUUCCGAGAGCUUCCGGAAUUCUUAUGUCUCCGAGUUCGUCGCAGGAGCACGGGACUGAGGACACACGUCGCCGUGUCGACUUCGCCUGGGUUCUGCGGAUCGGCACUCAGGCCUUCGAAUGAGUGCCCUCGGUUGCUGAAUGUGUGAUCAGCCGCAGAUUUCUCAUUCUUUAAAACCCGGGGAGCGGAAAUGGCAGCCUGAAGCCGGCGGCACACAGCUUAGCUCGCCGAGGUGCUGAAAUCAGGCUGUGAGGAAUGCUGGCCUUUGGGCCUCCCGAGGGCCGCCUGCGGAGCCCGGGUGGGGGAGCUUCUCUGUAAACCAGGACGGUGGCAAUCAAUGAGACAAUCUUCUCUCAUUCUUUUACUUAACUCAGAGAAUUGGUUUGCGGCCAGGAGCGGCUGGCAUCUGGUGGAGAGAAUGCGCCUGGAGGGGUUGGAAAGAGGGACCUGAAGGCCCGGGAAGAGCUCCUGCAGGCUUGGAGGUGGAGAGGGUCAGCUGCGUUCUCCACGCCCUGACCCUGUUUUGUACCCUGACUUUGGGAAUUGCCGGUUGGGUUUCUCCAGUGCUCCGAGGUUUAGAUUCAGCCCUGGAGGUUUCAGGGGGAAACAGGCCCCGAUUCUGCCCUUUGCCAGGCUUGAAGUCAGCGUGGUGGGUACAGAGGCAUCCUCCGCCUGUGUUUGGCUACCCUGUGAGGUCCUGCCUGGGAGCAAUGGCCUCAGCCUGGGCUUCCUCGGAGCAGCGGCUCAGACCUGCAGACCCAGUGGCCUGUGUGUGGCUGUGGGCAGGGGUGUUGGGAGCAGACGGUAGACAGGCACAGGGCUGGCUCUGUCCAGACUGGCAGUCCUUUCCCUACUCAACCUCAACACUUACCUGUUUUGUUUUUUAAGAAACAAUCCUACUGGGAUCCAAGAAGGGACUGGAGUCUCGUUCAAAGUGACCCUCCUAGCCCAUAAUUCUGCCAGCUUCAGAAUGGACCCGGCCUCCUGUCAGAAUCUAUCCAGAUGGCUGGCACGGACAUGGGGCAGGGACCGUGUUCCACCUUGUUCUCCCGGCUUCUCUUACCACAGGACUUUGUCUUCUCUUCGAUAAGAUCUGUAGGAUGUCUCCGGGCCUGUGUAGAGGGGCUGGCCUCUGAGAGCCACGGUGGCCAGGAUCCACUCACCCGGCCUGCUGGCUGAUGAAUGGCCAUAGGCCCCAGAGGUCUCAGAAGAAUUUGAGGGAGAACACAUGACAGCAAUCACUCGCAUUGACUGAGCGCUUUCUGCGCGCCAGACAUGGCUCUGCAUGCCCCUUAAAGAUUCCUGCUAAUAUCAAAAAGCCUAUUGAUGUCUACAGGUUUUCUCAGAUUGGGGAAAGGCCACAGCAGUUUGGUUUUUGGGUCAGAGAAGGAGAUGAUUUGAGGGAACGUAAUGGCUUCCUCAGAACAGACCUCUCAUCUCAGAGGUAACCAGCUGGGAAAUGCCGAGAUAGAGCUGACCUCGUGGCAGCUGCUCAGCCGCCUUCAUGCCCCCGCUCCCGCCCUUGGUUCGGAACCUGAGGGGCUGAUGGCUUCUCAGAGAAGGAGCAGUAAUUGGUGCCAUCAGACAGGCUCUGGUGACUGGUUCUCGCUGGCGGGUGUGAUCUUAGGAAAGGCCUUGUUCCUAGGCCCUCGAACUCCUCCUCCUCCUCUGGAAAGCUGAACUCGGUGUAACAGUUAGCUCUUGCUGUGUAACAAACACCCAGAGACUGUACGUUGACAAACAGAAGCACAUGUUGGCCUUGCUAGGCUAGGCGCACUCCACUGCUGAGGCUGUGGUCGGCUUCCGGUCUUCUGGGAGCUGCUUGGCCUGCAAUUACUCAGCCUCACUCUGUCUGAUCUUGAACUUCUUUCCAAGACAGAGUCCGUGAGAACAGAGAGAGGCACUCGUGGUCCCUUGAAGACCCAGGCUCAGAACAGCACACGGCCGUGCCCCGUGCCUGCUGGGGGUCAAGGCAAGCAACAAGGCCAGUCUAGACAUGAGCAUGAGCAUGCUGAUUCUGCCUGUUGACAGGACCAGCUGCUAAGUCACGUGCCCAAGGCUAUGGGCAUGGGAGGGAGGGGUGGAGAAUCAGGAAGGUUGCGGGCGAGCAGCCACCUCCCUUCCCACCCGAGCAUCACCGUGGCCAUAGCUCUCGGGGCACAGGUGUAUAUACAUACACACGCGUGGCACAUGUGAUCACACAUGUGUGCCCCCCAACACACACAAGCGUCACAUGUGCUCACGCCAGACUCAAACAGUUCACACACCAGGAAGAGAGGAAGGAGCCGGCUCCUUGGGACAGGGACAGGAGCUCCCUGGGAUUUGGGGUAAGUUACAAGGUACAGGGUUGUUGGUGGUGCGCCCAGCUCCAUCUGACGAGCGGCCAGACCCAGAAGCCAAGUUCUGCCCUCGGCUGGCCCUCUGCGUGUGUGGGCACCCCCACAUGCCAGGGUCAGAACUGAGCCAGGCGUGGCAAUCGCUGGGCUGCGGCCCUCGGGGGACCAUGCAGAGGGCGAGGCUGGGCACACCCCAGACCCCUGUGUGUUCUCCCUGGGCCACAUGCCGGGCAGACCUGCAAGCUGCUGGCUGGCCGGUGCCCACAGGCCUCCAUCCCUGGGCAGCAGGCGACAGGGGGGAGGCGGGUGACCAGAGCCAGCGUCCUCGUGACUGCUCCCCGUCCCGGGCGCCAGGCUCCUCGUGCGCUUCAAGCAACUGGCUCCCAGAGGAAGUUAAAUCAGCUUCCCACGGCCCCUCCUCAAAUAGACACCCAGCUGGCAUUCUCCCUUAAAUACCACUCAUUUUUAAAAGGGGGAGAAAUGUUGAUGGCACCGAAAGAGAUCACACGUUAAAAUGCAGAGCGGCGGCGAGUCGGCUCAGAUUAUUCUCUUAAUAGAGUUCCUCGGAGUGGGAAAGUGACGCGGGAGCAUAAUUGCGUCUUUUGUCAUUUGGGCAAAAAAAAAAAAAAAAAAAAAACCAAAAA